CCACACUUAUCUCAAAUGGUAAAGAAUUUGCCUGCGAAGCAGGAGACCAGGGUUCGAUCCUGGGUGAGGA
rnacentral:tRNA from 1 species